rfam:Bacteroidetes bacterium GWD2_45_23 gwd2_scaffold_11, whole genome shotgun sequence.
GAAUCGUUAGCUCAGCUGGUUUAGAGCGCUGCCUUGACAGGGCAGAGGUCACUGGUUCGAACCCAGUACGAUUCA